rnacentral:rRNA from 1 species
CAGCAGCCGCGGUAAACCGUAGGAAUCGAGCGUUAUCCGAAUUUACUGGGCGUAAAGCGCGUGUAGGCGGUUUGGUAAGUUGGAUGUGAAAGCUCCCGGCUCAACUGGGAGAGGACGUUCAAUACUGUCAGACUAGAGGACGGCAGAGGAAGGUGGAAUUCCCGGU